GAAGGCCUGGCCCGGCUCACAAAUGUAACGAAUACACACACAUGAUUUGUGUGUGACUCUCACAGUUAUCAAAACACUCGAAACAUAACACCAAACCCUAGCUCCCUCUCCUCUCAUUCGAACCCGACGGCAAUCCCUCUCUCCCUCUCGAAGAUCUUCUUGAUUCCAUCUUGCUCAUUUUGGUCGUUGUGUACUUUGAUGGAGCUUGCAUGGAGGAGUCGUUGUGGCAGGGAACCAUUGUUGGGUUCCUAUUAAACAUUAUGAACUUAAACUAUUAAUUGGGUUUUGAACUUUAUGCUUCCGCUGACACUUAAACUUGGUAUUUGGGUAUUUGUUUUCGUAAACACUAAUUGUAUUGAUUGUGAUGGAUUUUAUUUA